UACAGAGGGUGCAAGCGUUGUUCGGAAUUAUUGGGCGUAAAGCGCGUGUAGGCGGCUUUGCAAGUCGGGUGUGAAAGCCCUCAGCUUAACUGAGGAAGUGCGCCCGAAACUUCAGAGCUUGAGUACCGGAGAGGAUGGUGGAAUUCCCCAAGUAGAGGUGAAAUUCGUAGAUAUGGGGAGGAACACCGGUGGCGAAGGCGACCAUCUGGACGGAUACUGACGCUGAGACGCGAAAGCGUGGGUAGCAAACAGG
rnacentral:rRNA from 1 species